UGGGGAAUAUUGCACAAUGGGGGAAACCCUGAUGCAGCCAUGCCGCGUGUGUGAAGAAGGCCUUCGGGUUGUAAAGCACUUUCAGCGAGGAGGAAAGGUUGAUGCCUAAUACGUAUCAACUGUGACGUUACUCGCAGAAGAAGCACCGGCUAACUCCGUGCCAGCAGCCGCGGUAAUACGGAGGGUGCAAGCGUUAAUCGGAAUUACUGGGCGUAAAGCGCACGCAGGCGGUUGGAUAAGUUAGAUGUGAAAGCCCCGGGCUCAACCUGGGAAUUGCAUUUAAAACUGUCCAGCUAGAGUCUUGUAGAGGGGGGUAGAAUUCCAGGUGUAGCGGUGAAAUGCGUAGAGAUCUGGAGGAAUACCGGUGGCGAAGGCGGCCCCCUGGACAAAGACUGACGCUCAGGUGCGAAAGCGUGGGGAGCAAACAGG
rnacentral:rRNA from 1 species